GGCGGCUCGAGUGGUGGCCACUAUUACUGGGCUUAAAGCGUUCGUAGCUGGUUUGUUAAGUCUCUGGGGAAAUCUUCCGGCUUAACCGGAAGGCGUCUCAGGGAUACUGGCAGACUAGGGACCGGGAGAGGUGAGAGGUACUCCAGGGGUAGGAGUGAAAUCCUGUAAUCCUUGGGGGACCACCUGUGGCGAAGGCGUCUCACCAGAACGGCUCCGACAGUGAGGGACGAAAGCUGGGGGAGCAAACCG
rnacentral:rRNA from 1 species